rnacentral:rRNA from 1 species
AAGCGCACGCAGGCGGUCUGUCAAGUCGGAUGUGAAAUCCCCGCCGCUUACCUGGGAACUGCAUUCGAAACUGGCAGGCUAGAGUCCUUUAGAGGGGGGUAGAAUUCCAGGUGUAGCGGUGAAAUGCGUAGAGAUCUGGAGGAAUACCGGUGGCGAAGGCGGCCCCCUGGACAAAGACUGACGCUCAGGUGCGAAAGCGUGGGGAGCAAACAGGAUUAGAUACCCUGGUAGUCCACGCCGUAAACGAUGUCGAUUUGGAGGUUGUGCCCUUGAGGCGUGGCUUCCGGAGCUAACGCGUUAAAUCGACCGCCUGGGGAGUACGGCCGCAAGGUUAAAACUCAAAUGAAUUGACGGGGGCCCGCACAAGCGGUGGAGCAUGUGGUUUAAUUCGAUGUUACGCGAAGAACCUUACCUGGUCUUGACAUCCACAGAACUUUCCAGAGAUGGAUUGGUGCCUUCGGGAACUGUGAGACAGGUGCUGCAUGGCUGUCGUCAGCUCGUGUUGUGAAAUGUUGGGUUAAGUCCCGCAACGAGCGCAACCCUUAUCCUUUGUUGCCAGCGGUUAGGCCGGGAACUCAAAGGAGACUGCCAGUGAUAAACUGGAGGAAGGUGGG